rnacentral:lncRNA from 1 species
GGUGAGUAAACGGAAGUUUGCGAAGGAAUUAACCUUUUAAGCUUCCCAUGUCAAAUAUAGUUCAACCUUAUGCUGUCAACUCUGCAUAUGAAGUAGUAUUUGCUUGGAGAGCAGCAUUGCUUAGCAGAGUGUGUGUGUUUUGCUUGCUGGGUUAGAGUAGUAGGUGGAGUAUUUUGCUGGAUCAUAUCAUCAAUCAGUCAAUAAUAUAAUGUGUUCGUGUAUGUAUGUAACUAAGAUUGAUUCCAAUUCCCAAGAUAUUAUUACACGGAGUUAAGAACCUAGAUCAUAU